UGGGGAAUUUUGGACAAUGGGGGCAACCCUGAUCCAGCCAUCCCGCGUGUGCGAUGAAGGCCUUCGGGUUGUAAAGCACUUUUUGGCAGGGAAGAAAUGCAGCCUGGGGAUUAAUACCCGGGCGACUGACGGUACCUGCAGAAUAAGCACCGGCUAACUACGUGCCAGCAGCCGCGGUAAUACGUAGGGUGCAAGCGUUAAUCGGAAUUACUGGGCGUAAAGCGUGCGCAGGCGGUUCGGAAAGAAAGGUGUGAAAUCCCAGGGCUUAACCUUGGAACUGCACUUUUAACUACCGAGCUAGAGUACGUCAGAGGGGGGUAGAAUUCCACGUGUAGCAGUGAAAUGCGUAGAGAUGUGGAGGAAUACCGAUGGCGAAGGCAGCCCCCUGGGCCAAUACUGACGCUCAUGCACGAAAGCGUGGGGAGCAAACAGGAUUAGAUACCCUGGUAGUCCACGCCCUAAACGAUGUCAACUAGUUGUUGGGGAUUCAUUUCCUUAGUAACGUAGCUAACGCGUGAAGUUGACCGCCUGGGGAGUAC
rnacentral:rRNA from 1 species